CUAGAAGCUAAUUUCUUUGGUGAAAAUUGUAAGGAAUGUUAAGGAAAAUUUAUAUCACUUGAUUUAUUAUGUGUAUGGAAUAAAUUAGUUUGUUUUUUAGGUAACAGGAUGCAGUUUUCCAAUAAGGAAAGUCUUAUUUGACUUGGUUAUUGAGUAAAAAAGCACAGUCCAGUCUGUCCACAAAUGUAUGACUCGGCAACU
rnacentral:lncRNA from 1 species